GGCCACGUGGCGGAGUGGUGACGCAGCGGACUGCAAAUCCGUAUACCCCGGUUCGAUUCCGGGCGUGGCCU
rfam:Methyloceanibacter superfactus strain R-67175 contig_32, whole genome shotgun sequence.